AAAAAUGUUAAGAAAAUUCAUCCUGAAAUGUCAUUAAUUAAAUAGGUUUAAUUAUGGAGACAACAGCAUGUGACUAGGUCAGUACUGUAGUUUACCAACAGCAUGUGACUAGGUCAGUACUGUAGUUUACCAACAGCAUGUGACUAGGUCAGUACUGUAGUUUACCAACAGCAUGUGACUAGGUCAGUACUGUAGUUUACCAACAGCAUGUGACUAGGUCAGUACUGUAGUUUACCAACAGCAUGUGACUAGGUCAGUACUGUAGUUUACCAAUAGAUUACCAUUGGUGACUGGAGUAAUUAAGAUUACAUGUACAUGUCUGUCUGUACCAUAAUAUUGGACUAAAGAAUUGCAAAUGAGCAUAGUGAUUCAUACAGUGAUAGUGAUAUAUACAAUUAUGUAUUUAAGAACGCUGCUUUAAAUUCCAUGUUCUUAUUGAUUUACCUGUUACUAUUUACCCAGUUAUUCUAACUGUUCUUUUCAUUAUUUAUUAAGUUUGUAGGUGUAUCAAAAUAUAAUGUAUGAAAGAAAAUGCUUUUAAAUUAGUGUAAAUGGUAAAUAUAAACUGUUUGUGAUGGUUGUAAGUAGUAGAAAUAGUGUAAUGCAAGUUCAAUAAUGGCUGUUCCGAACUAAUCAUAUGGUGUGAUAAAAAGCAAAUUUGUUUUUAAUACCAAUCCCCUUUAAUCUAAAAUUAAACAAUUUAAACACACUGGACCGGAUUUACAAAGCCGGUUUAUGUCUUACACACCUGUAACUACAUACAUUUACAAUGCUUAAACAUCUACGUUUAAGAAAAACAGGCUCCUCAUCUUUAUGGGAGUUAACAAUAAUGUGUAAAUGGUACUUAAGAUAUAUUGUAAAUUCGACCCCUCAUCUUUAUAGGAGUUAACAAUAAUGUGUAAAUGGUACUUCAGAUAUAUUGUAAAUUCGGCCCCCUAUCUUUAUAGGAGUUAACAAUAAUGUGUAAAUGGUACUUCAGAUAUAUUGUAAAUUCGACCCCUCAUCUUUAUAGGAGUUAACAAUAAUGUGUAAAUGGUACUUCAGAUAUAUUGUAAAUUCGACCCCUCAUCUUUAUAGGAGUUAACAAUAAUGUGUAAAUGGUACUUCAGAUAUAUUGUAAAUUCGGCCCCCUAUCUUUAUAGGAGUUAACAAUAAUGUGUAAAUGGUACUUCAGAUAUAUUUUAAAUUCGGCCCCUCAUCUUUAUAGGAGUUAACAAUAAUGUGUAAAUGGUACUUCAGAUAUAUUGUAAAUUCGGCCCCUCAUCUUUAUAGGAGUUAACAAUAAUGUGUAAAUGGUACUUCAGAUAUAUUGUAAAUUCGGCCCCUCAUCUUUAUAGGAGUUAACAAUAAUGUGUAAAUGGUACUUCAGAUAUAUUGUAAAUUCGACCCCUCAUCUUUAUAGGAGUUAACAAUAAUGUGUAAAUGGUACUUCAGAUAUAUUGUAAAUUCGACCCCUCAUCUUUAUAGGAGUUAACAAUAAUGUGUAAAUGGUACUUCAGAUAUAUUGUAAAUUCGGCCCCUCAUCUUUAUAGGAGUUAACAAUAAUGUGUAAAUGGUACUUCAGAUAUAUUGUAAAUUCGGCCCCUCAUCUUUAUAGGAGUUAACAAUAAUGUAUAAAUGGUACUUCAGAUAUAUUCAUUCUGCAUACAUGUGCUUCUUUUUUACCUCUGUAUUAAGACCAACUGUUCUUCUUGACUAUAUUGUUUUAUUAGAUCUUGUGGAUCGCCAUAGCUAGAUUUGCUUUUUAAAAAUCCCCUUCAACCUGAAAUUAAACAUUUUAGCGGUUCAUAAACACACUAUUUUUAUAAUAAUGGACAAAGUUACUUAGAUAUUUCCAUGUGCAUCCAUAUGCGUCCGUUUUACCACUGUAUUAAGACCGCCUUUUCUUCAAGACCAUAUUUUUGUAUUAGAUCUUGUGGGUCGCUCUUAACUGGAUUUACUUUCUAAAAAUAUUUAUUAUAGCACAGUUAGCCAAUAUAUUAAACAAUAAUGUUGAUGUUUCCCACCCAGUAACUACCAUAUGUUGAUUUCUGAGACAGCUGUUACAUGUAUUUGAUACCACAAUAGAUUGCUUUGACCCCCGGUGGACAGUCUUUUCAAUAUACUCAUCCAGAUUUAUUACCUUUAUUUAUACAAUGUUGUUUGUGAAUUUCCACAUGUUUUCCCAGCACCAGUCAAACCUUGAUCUCGUCUGUUUGUGUCAUAGUAAUUUAAAUUGGUCCUAGUGUGCUGCAUGCACUAUACAUACGCACAACACUACAGUCACUGCACAGCAUUAAAUCAGUCGUGUAUUGCACAUUAAACAUAAGAGUUGUCUCUAUACGCAUUAUAUACAGCAUCCCCAGGGCUUAACCGGGCUGGCCAGCAGUCGCAGGCUUGUUUGUCGGUCAUCGAGAUCGAAUGAACAACAAAAAAUAUAUAUGUAUAAAAAAAAAAAAUUGCUAUAAUGUUUAAAAUGCGUGAAAAUCUCAUGUACCGGCGGGUGAGCGUGACACAACGUUCAAAUGCUCAUGCCGAAUGCGUGAGACUUGACAGGACUGCAUCCCUAAUAUACAUACAUGAGUUGGGUUUUUUUAAAUCGUUGGUCUUGACCAAUUCAUUGUAGGGACUAUCCCGAGUUUAAAGCCACUGUUACAUGUUUUUCAUCAAUAUACCAAUUAUAGUCUCUCUUAUUUAUUAAAAUAUUCUUGCUGAGAAUAUGAAUAGAUUUUUUUUUUUUAUGUUCAUGGUAACUCAGUAGGAAUGUUUGACUUAAUCAUUUUGUCCCGGGUCAGGCCCCUGGCAAUCCAGAGACAGGACCCGGGACAGACAUGCUUUAAACCUUCGUGGUAUAUGAGCAUGACAGAAUUAUCCGCUCCGCAAUAAUUGUGAACAUAAUUAUGAUCAUAUCAAUUUAUUUUUUCUAACAAACAAAAUUUGAAAUAGUUGGGCUAAAGAGCCUCAAAUGUAUUUCCCUGUAUAAUGCUUCAUAGUUCAAACAGUUUGAUACAGGUUCUUUUACACAAAUGUAUUAAAGCAAAGGUUCCAAAUUUAAACCACUGGAUUUUUUUAUUUUUUUUCCUAAUGGCUACAAACUCAAAAUAGUGUCUUUUUACAGGUUUUUUUUUAUCAGAGACAACAUUGUUUGCACAACUUAGCUUAUGCAUAAAAAGUGGUUGAUGAGUACAUAGUACACACACCCAUGUAGUCAUAUUACUACCUGAAACUUGUUAGAGCAUUUUAUCCAUGACAGCAUUGUUGUAAUUUGUUUCAAGUUGGUGCCAAUGGUGUUGGAAUUUACCCUGUGACCCCCACAAAAUCCUAUUUAUCAAGUUAAACAAAAGAAGUUUAUUUAUUUAUUGCUCAUAUAUAAACAAUAUUUCUUCUUGAAAAUGCUUACAGUAAUUAUGUAGCAUGUAUAUUUAGACUAAGGACACCAGGAGCUACAAAGCCAGGUUAUCAUGUGUCUGGUGUGUGCGGUAUGCAACAGCGAUUAUCAAGUUCAUGCAGUAGUCUUUAUUAGCUGCACUUGACAGCCUUACAUAUGUAUGCAAUUUUUGUUUUCUUUAUGUAGUUUGGUUAAAAUGAAAGUAAAGAACUAAUUUUACUGUUCUAAUAUGGGUCAGAAUUUGUGGCAUUUGGAAUACCACCGAGUGCAGAGAACGCAUUUGAAGACCUAUAUUAAAUGUCAUUGGAAUGAUUUUAUGAAAAAAAUGCAUACUGCACACCACACUUUAUGCUUUCUGUAGUACAUCAAAUUCGCAAAUGUAAUAUCUAGCAUAUAUAACACAGUUGUACAUUUUAUAUAUAUAUUUUUUUUUUCAUAUGCAUCUGCAAUAGUCUGUGUAAACACAGUUUCUAGGAUACAUUAAUUUGAAAUUAAUAUUAAUCUUGUGUGUGUAAUACUAGUGUCUUCAUACAUGUGUAAUUAGACAUUCUACUGAUUGAGAACAAAUUUGAAUACAAUUUUACCUCAU